rnacentral:rRNA from 1 species
UACGGGGGGGGCAAGCGUUGUUCGGAAUUACUGGGCGUAAAGUGCUCGUAGGCGGCCAACUAAGUCGGAUGUGAAAUCCCCAGGCUCAACCUGGGAACUGCAUCCGAUACUGGAUGGCUUGAAUUCGGGAGAGGGAUGCAGAAUUCCAGGUGUAGCGGUGAAAUGCGUAGAUAUCUGGAGGAAUACCGGUGGCGAAGGCGGCAUCCUGGACCGACAUUGACGCUGAGGAGCGAAAGCCAGGGGAGCAAACAGG